rnacentral:rRNA from 1 species
CCCGGGCCUUGUACACACCGCCCGUCACACCGUGGGAGUUAGUUGCUCCAGAAACGGCUGCGCUAACCCGCAAGGGGGGCAGGUCUUUAAGGAGUGACUGGUAACUGGGGUG